rnacentral:misc_RNA from 1 species
UUUCCGCAGGUGAACCUGCGGAAGGAUCAUUACUGAGUGAGGGCCCCUCGGGGUCCAACCUCCCACCCGUGUUUAACGAACCUAGUUGCUUCGGCGGGCCCGCCUCACGGCCGCCGGGGGGCAUUUGCCCCCGGGCCCGCGCCCGCCGAAGCCACCUGUGAACGCUGUCUGAAGUAUGCAGUCUGAGACAAUUAUUAAAUUAAUUAAAACUUUCAACAACGGAUCUCUUGGUUCCG